rnacentral:rRNA from 1 species
GCUGACGUUUAACACAUGCAAGUCGAGAUGAAGCCUAGCUUGUAGUGGAUUAGUGGCGAACGGGUGAGUAAUACUGAGUGACUACCUUUGACUCUGGGAUAAGCCUGGGAUACUGGGUUAAUACCCGGAUAGACCAAUCUCCGCAUGGGGUUUGGUGGAAAGCGUUAUGGAGUGGUUUUAGAUGGGCUCACGGCUAUCAGCUUGUUGGUGAGGUAAUGGUUACCAAGGCGACGACGGGUAGCCGGCCUGAGAGGGUGACCGGCCACACUGGGACUGAGACACGGCCCAGACUCCUACGGGAGGCAGCAGUGGGGAAUAUUGCACAAUGGGCGCAAGCCUGAUGCAGCGACGCCCGCGUGAGGGAUGACGGCUUCGGGUUGUAAACCUCUGUUAGCAUCGAAGAAGCGAAAGUGACGGUAGGUGC